AGGCUUUGAUCCUGGCUCAGAUUGAACGCUGGCGGCAUGCCUAACACAUGCAAGUCGAACGGUAACAGGAGCCAGCUUGCUGGUUCGCUGACGAGUGGCGGACGGGUGAGUAACACGUAGGAAUCUGCCCUGCAGCGGGGGAUAGCCCGGGGAAACUCGGAUUAAUACCGCAUACGCUCCACGGAGGAAAGAGGGCCUCUUCUUGAAAGCUCUCACUGCAGGAUGAGCUACGUCCGAUUAGCUUGUUGGUGGGGUAAAGGCCUACCAAGGCGACGAUCGGUAGCUGGUCUGAGAGGAUGAUCAGCCACACCGGGACUGAGACACGGCCCGGACUCCUACGGGAGGCAGCAGUGGGGAAUAUUGGACAAUGGGCGCAAGCCUGAUCCAGCAAUGCCGCGUGUGUGAAGAAGGCCUGCGGGUUGUAAAGCACUUUUAUUGGGGAAGAAACGGCCUGGGCGAAUACCCCAUGGCAAUUGACGGUACCUCAAGGAAUAAGCACCGGCGUACUC
rnacentral:rRNA from 1 species